rnacentral:rRNA from 1 species
AUGAGGCCUUUCGGUGAAGCCAAGUCAAUUUCGGGCCACCAAACCCUGCAACUGAGGAAAAGGCCCUAUGGAGUAAAGGGAAGAAUGUACAUUGUCACACUCCCCGCCCUCCAAAGGUGCCUAGAGGACGGGCCAGACGCAGCAGAGCGACGCCCCAAGAGCGGAUUCCCCAUGAGCAGGGGGACAGGAGAUGGCCAUCUCAAGGCACAUCACGACCUACAGGCAACACCGGCGAGACCAAGGAAGGUAACCCGAUUGGGAGUCAGAGGAUCCAUAGUACCCGCAGCCUCCCGAACUUCAUAUUCGUCAUUUUCUAAAGAAAUGGUAAGGGAUCUCUUUUCU